AAGCAUAGACAGCAGAGAACUUCCACUAGUAGGGAUGCUGUUGAAAGCCGUGAAAGGUCUUCAAAUGCAGAUGAUGAUGGAAAUAUCUGGGUAAGAGAUAAAAGUGCAAGAGAAGUAGGGCACUCUAGCAGGUCUAGGACCCCAGAGAGGAGCGCAAGGCGUCAUCAAGAAUCACAGUACUCUGAAAUUGAGUAUGAAAGAAGCUCAGACAUCAGGAUGAAGGAUCUAGAAAGGGAUGGCCUUAGAGAUGAUAGAUCAAAAGGCAGGGAUGACAGCUGGAGUGACAGGAAUAGAGAUCGGGAAAGUUCCAAAGACAGUUGGAAAAGAAGGCAAACCACUUUUAAUGAUAGAGAGUCAAAAGAUGGAGAUGU
rnacentral:misc_RNA from 1 species